GUUUCUGCCCUUAGGGAAUCUAAAUUUGCGUAGAAGAAAUAAUCCAAGUUUUAAAAAGUUCCACUUAGUGGUCAUUUCUGUGAAGAAAAUAAAUAGCGCUGGAUGACAGUUGAGACUUACGUGAUUCAAAGGCAGUUACGCGAAGCUCUGGGGAAGAGCUUUCCAGGAGAGGGAAUGGCAGGUGCACAAGCCCCAAGGUAAGAAAGGGAAAGGCUAAGACCAGAAGGCAGGCUGAUAUGGAGGAAUCUUCCAGAAGAAGUCCAAAGGAUGAACUGAGACUGGACUUGAGGCAGGACCUUGUGAGCCCAGAUGGAAGUGGCAAUUGCCAAGUGGAGAAUAAGAAGAAAUGGAAAAGAAUGAAAAUAAGAAAGAUAAUAGGUGGAAGAGAGUCAGGCAGAGUGGAAGAAUCACAGAGCAGCACAGGACCCCGAGAUCCGCCCAUCAUCCAUUAACAAGUAUUCACGGAGCACCAAUACGGCAGGAAACUGGGAGGUGGCGCUUGCAGUGAGCCAAGAUCGCACCACUGCGCUCCAGCGCGGGCGACCGAGAGAGACUCCGUCUCAAAAAAAAAAAAAAAAAAAAAAAUUAAAAAAAAAUAUAUAAUAAAGCAUAAGAGAAUUAUAUUUUUGGAAAUGACACAUAACUUUAUGUAGGAUGAUGGUUUUCUUUUGAGGUUUCCUCUUUGGUUCUUAAGAAGGCAAACGCUUUAUUUGCUAUGCCUUAGCUGCCUGUUGACAGGUCCUGUGCCAGGUAUUCAGGUACCUGUCAUUUCAUCAGCUACACACCCUGGAAGCAGGCCUGACUCAGUGGUCCCUGCUUUCCCCAUGAAGCAGCAGCGACUUAGAAAGAUGACACAUUUCCCCGUGGUCAUUCAGUUUCUCAGCUAAAUGAAGCUUCAUUUAGCUUCAUUUCUCCUUCUCUUAAUCUCUAUGUAUCUAUUUAUCUGUCCAUCCAUCCAGCCAUCUUUCUAUCCAUCUAUCCUUUAUCUUUUGAUGUAUGUAUCUAUGUAUCUGUUUGUUUCUAUUACUUAUCUAUCUUUAUCUAUCCAUCUAUAUGUAUAUA
rnacentral:lncRNA from 1 species